GAUGAAAUGGCUGAGAUUAGGCAAUAAAUUGUAAAUUUAUGUAGGGGUUUCCUUUCAUUA
rnacentral:tRNA from 1 species